rnacentral:rRNA from 1 species
UACGGAGGGUGCAAGCGUUAUCCGGAUUCACUGGGUUUAAAGGGUGCGUAGGUGGGUUGGUAAGUCAGUGGUGAAAUCUCCAGGCUUAACUUGGAAACUGCCAUUGAUACUAUCAAUCUUGAAUACCGUGGAGGUCAGCGGAAUAUGUCAUGUAGCGGUGAAAUGCUUAGAUAUGACAUAGAACACCGAUUGCGAAGGCAGCUGGCUACAGGUAUAUUGACACUGAGGCACGAAAGCGUGGGGAUCAAACAGG